UGGAAGUGAAAGUGAAAGAACUGU
rnacentral:piRNA from 1 species